AAUUAAUGAGCUUGAAUAUAAGCAUUUGUUUUGAAAACUUAAGAAAGAAUAUAUUUCUAUUAAUUU
rnacentral:tRNA from 1 species